rnacentral:rRNA from 1 species
UGGGGAAUUUUGGACAAUGGGGGCAACCCUGAUCCAGCAAUGCCGCGUGAGUGAAGAAGGCCUUCGGGUUGUAAAGCUCUUUUGUCAGGGAAGAAACGGUUCGGGAUAAUACCUUGGACUAAUGACGGUACCUGAAGAAUAAGCACCGGCUAACUACGUGCCAGCAGCCGCGGUAAUACGUAGGGUGCGAGCGUUAAUCGGAAUUACUGGGCGUAAAGCGUGCGCAGGCGGUUUUGUAAGACAGAUGUGAAAUGCCCGGGCUUAACCUGGGAACUGCAUUUGUGACUGCAAGGCUAGAGUUUGGCAGAGGGGGGUAGAAUUCCACGCGUAGCAGUGAAAUGCGUAGAUAUGUGGAGGAACACCGAUGGCGAAGGCAGCCCCCUGGGCUAAGAUUGACGCUCAUGCACGAAAGCGUGGGGAGCAAACAGGAUUAGAUACCCUGGUAGUCCACGCCCUAAACGAUGUCUACUAGUUGUCGGGUCUUAAUUGACUUGGUAACGCAGCUAACGCGUGAAGUAGACCGCCUGGGGAGUACGGUCGCAAGAUUA